rnacentral:lncRNA from 1 species
AGUAUUUUUACUGAUAGAGAUUUUAGCUCCUCCCAAUUCUUGCUUAAAUUAUCCAACUCUUGGGUUAUAAAUUUGCUUUUUAGUGACAGCAUAGCUGCAGCCUGCAGGGUCUCUGAAGAAUGGGUCUUCAUCAGAGGGCAUGUCUCCUGGCAAGGGGGCAUUUGCUGCCUGCUGCCCAGCUCUGAGCAACAGCCCGGAGCCCCUGCUGGCUGCUCUCCGCACCCUGAAGCCGGCUCUGAGUUCGACCAAUGCUCAGCCUUCGCUGGUGCGGCCAGGGCUCUCAUCUGUUGCUUCCAUUUCAGACGCGGAGAGAUUAAGCAAUUAUGGAUUAUUUCAACAUCAGAUGGCCCAAGACAAUUAGUCAGAGGAGAAGCAAAGAAGUGGCCCUGCUGGCUUUUGGUGAAGGGGAAUUUUCAGGCGGAGUUCAAGUUCAAACUUGAACACUUGUACAAAGACUCCUUGGAUGAUCUGCUUGUGAUAUUGGAGCAUUUCCUCCUUGCUGGCCGACACAAUGGCAAGCUUUGUCAGUGAAGAGUGCCGAAGAGACACUGCAGGAGGAAGGGGCUUCUCUCCCAGUUCCAGGGUAAGUUUCUUCCCGCUGGCUUACGUGUCACUCAGCUGUUGUACAGGACACUCAGUGAAGCUCACCCCCAGCAAGUUUUGGUGGCACUUCUGUAGGCACUUUACCUGUGAGUUGUAUGGAUACUCCUUUUUCCUUCCUUUCAUGUGAUGAGUUCAGCAGCAGCCCCCACAGGUGGCUUCCAGGACACUCUUGGGAACAUUCCAGUGAGAAGAGUCUUGCCUACCAUGCAUGGCCACUGGCACUCUGGUGUGAGUUUUCCUGCUUGCCACUUCUCUCCUGCACAUCCCUGACCACCAAUUUGCACAGUAACUGUGGACCCACCUCUGGCUCAGGGCAACCCAGCAAACUUCCCACUUUCGGAUAGUGGGUUGUAUCCAAAUCUCUUCAACAAGGUCUGAAUUUCACAUCUGAGAUCUUGGGUGAUAGCUAAUUGAUCGAGAUGUUCUGCAGAAUGAAAUCGAUGGGCAGCUGCUUAGAAUAUUUUU